ensembl:lncRNA
CGGGGGCACCAUCGGACGAAUCUCCAAGACAGCAGAGGUUCUUGGGGCUGUGCAUCAGGAGGCAAAAGUGAGCCGUGCAGUGGAACUCAUGGUGGCUCAUGUGGAGAACCUGAAGCGCCGUCAUGUGAGGAACAGCAUUGAACUGGAGGAGAUGAAGAAACAGAUGGAGAAAAGCAGCAGAGAGCGGCACGUCUGUGAGCAGAGGGGUAGGAAACACCCAUUCAGUUCCUUCACAAUGUUAAAGUUAUGAUGCGUCCACUAGCAUUUUGGAAAAAAAUGUAUCUGUGUCACUGCAGAGGAAACUGAGGCUAUUGAAAAGCUGGAAAAAGACCUACAGAAGCCACAGUUACGGCGUAGAAUCAGUACAAACAUCAUUGCAAAGCAAAUCCAGAGGCAAAAAGUGAAGGAGUCAGAAGCUAUAUUAUCUUCAGUGACCAGUGAGAUUAGUGAAGAGAUCAAAUCAACCACAAAGAAACCUGACCACACAGAUGACUGCCAAAUGAAUAGAGGGCAAGAACCUCAAGAUGACAGUCCCUCACAAACUGUCACGGUGGAUGCUACUGAGAAGACAUCGUCCCAAAUUCAUCCCAAACAGACUCUGAGGCUUGAGCUGGACCCCACCUUUGUAAAAAAAAACACAAGUUCACUGCCAGUGUUACCUCAUCAAAGGCUGAGGAGGAAGGCAUCACUGGAGCACAGUCAUGCCUGGCUCAAGAGAUCUGAGAGCUACCUCCGAGACUGUAAUACAUGUGUCAGUAGCUUACGGCGCCCUCUUAUGCAGGGGAUGUAUCAUUGCCGCUGGAUAAUCCUUGCCAUUUACCUCACUGUUCUUUGCUCCAUCAUUAUAUUAGCCAUAUUAGUAUGGUUGCUGCAAACACCCAUCUUAUGGAUGUGAAAAUUAUAACUAUAGAAAUAGAAAUGUGACGAAUAUGUUAAAAGCACUGUUGAUAGCUUUUAGUUACAUUUGCAAGACAUUUUAUUGGA